rnacentral:lncRNA from 1 species
AGAAUCUCACUCUGUCACCCAGGCUGGAGUGCAGUGGCAUGAUAAUAGCUCACUGCAGCCUCAACCUCCUGGCCUCAAGCAAUACUUCCACCUCAGCCUUCAAAAUAGCUGGAAAUACAGGUGAAUGGAUAAAAAUAUGUUUAUAUAGAGAGUGGAAUAUUAUUCAGUCAUGGAAAAGAAGGAAAUGCUGACAUUUGCAACAACAUGGAAGAACGGAAGGACGUCAUGCUAAGUGAAGGAAGUGAGACCCAGAAAGACAAAUACCACAUGAUUUCACGCAUAUGCAAAAUCUACAAAAGUUGAACUCAUAAAAGCAGAGAGUAGAGCGGUGGCUGGUUAGGAAAAUGGGGAGAUGCUGAUGGAAGGGUCCAAACUUUCAGUUAUAAGAGGCCACUUAAGCAAGAUUCCUGCUCAUGGAACACUAUAUGCU